GAUGAACGCUGGCGGCGUGCUUAACACAUGCAAGUCGAACGAAGCAUUUAGGACAGAUUACUUCGGUUUGAAGUUCUUUAUGACUGAGUGGCGGACGGGUGAGUAACGCGUGGGUAACCUGCCUUGUACUGGGGGAUAGCAGCUGGAAACGGCUGGUAAUACCGCAUAAGCGCACAAUGUUGCAUGACAUGGUGUGAAAAACUCCGGUGGUAUAAGAUGGACCCGCGUCUGAUUAGCUAGUUGGUGAGAUAACAGCCCACCAAGGCGACGAUCAGUAGCCGACCUGAGAGGGUGACCGGCCACAUUGGGACUGAGACACGGCCCAGACUCCUACGGGAGGCAGCAGUGGGGAAUAUUGCACAAUGGAGGAAACUCUGAUGCAGCGACGCCGCGUGAGUGAAGAAGUAAUUCGUUAUGUAAAGCUCUAUCAGCAGGGAAGAUAGUGACGGUACCUGACGAAGAAGCGCCGGCUAAAUACGUG
rnacentral:rRNA from 1 species